GGUGAACGCUGGCGGCGUGCCUAAGACAUGCAAGUCGAGUGGGUUUAGGCCCACGGCAAACGGGUGAGUAAUACCUAGGAACUUUCUUUAAGUGGAGCAUAACCAGCCGAAAGGUUGGAUAAUUCUCCAUGUGACCGCAAGGUCAAAGUCGCAAGACGCUUAAAGUGAGGCCUGGGCACCAUCAGCUAGUUGGUAAGGUAAUGGCUUACCAAGGCUAUGACGGUUAGGGGCCCUCAGAGGGGAGUCCCCCACACUGGAACUGCGACACGGUCCAG
rnacentral:rRNA from 1 species